AUCAAAGCUUUCCCUCCGUCAUCAUCAACGCUUCACCAUAUCCUCCGUUCUUCAAAGUUUUUGGGAAUUGGUUAGAAUCUUUGCUUCAUUUUGGUUUAAUUUUAAAGAAUAAUUUCAUUGAAUUUGUUUCUAAUUCGCCAUCAUCUAAUUUUUGUUCUAAUUCAACAAUAGGUCAAUUUUUUCCGAUUUAGGGCUUGCUUCAAGUGUUCUAACUGAUCCUGUGUCAAUUUCAUCAGGUCAAUUUUUUCCGAUUUAGGGCUUGCUUCAAGUGUUCUAACUGAUCCUGUGUCAAUUUCAUCAGGGCUUGCUUCAAGAGUUCUAAUUGAUCCUGUGUAAAUUUCAUCAGGCACUCAGUCAAAGUGAUGGAAGAUGGCGAUAUGAUUCAAGUGGUGCUGAAUCAAGUACUUAUGCUGCUGCUGCAAUGGUGCUUGGCCACACUGAUUGUCCUUCAUGUUUGAUGUGUUGUA